rnacentral:rRNA from 1 species
GAUGAACGCUGGCGGCGUGCCUAAUACAUGCAAGUCGAGCGAACAGACGAGGAGCUUGCUCCUCUGACGUUAGCGGCGGACGGGUGAGUAACACGUGGAUAACCUACCUAUAAGACUGGGAUAACUUCGGGAAACCGGAGCUAAUACCGGAUAAUAUAUUGAACCGCAUGGUUCAAUAGUGAAAGACGGUUUUGCUGUCACUUAUAGAUGGAUCCGCGCCGCAUUAGCUAGUUGGUAAGGUAACGGCUUACCAAGGCAACGAUGCGUAGCCGACCUGAGAGGGUGAACGGCCACACUGGAACUGAGACACGGUACAGACUCCGACGGGAGGCAGCAGUAGGGAAUCUUCCGCACUGGGCGAAAGCUUGACGGGGCAACGCAGCGUGAGUGAUGAAGGUCUUCGGAUCGUAAAACUCUGUUAUUAGGGAAGAACAAAUGUGUAAGUAACUAUGCACGUCUUGACGGUACCUAAUCAGAAAGCCACGGCUAACUACGUG